UUUGGGUUUAAGAAACGGAUAAUUCCAGCCGGUAAAUUGCACGUCAGUGCUUAAACCCCCAUAAACCCAAACCCUGGAGCUUCUUCUCAGACUCCUCUGUGCCUCUCUCAAUUCUCGCCGUCUUUUUUAUCCUUGCAGCUUCAAAAGGGGCUCAGACAUCACAAUGGAGAGGAAGGCUCGUGACAGUGACAGUGAGUUCAAGGACAAUGGCGAUUUCGACUGCGAUGAGCUGAGUGUUACUUUGAUUUGUAAAUUCUGCUAUUGGGUUUCGGUAAUUAUUUGGUUUUUCUUUGGUGAAUUUGUUGUUAGUUGAUGAUUUGUGAUGUAGAUGCAGCAGGAAGAGGAUGACUUUGAUGAUGAACAAGGAGGAAGGAGAAUCAGAAAAUGAGGAAGAAGAUGGAGAAGAAGUGGGGGAAGAGGAAAAUGGUGAUGGGCAAACCUAUAAUAAAGAUGCCGAGAUGGAAGAAUUCGAGAAAGAAUACAUGAAUCUUCAUCAUCAGGAGCGGGAAGAGACUUCUGUUCACAAUCCUUUUAUUUUUAAUUAUAAACUUGUGAUGCAUCAUUAGAAUGAAGACAUAGAGCUAAAUAAUGUGAAUAUAGGAGAUAAUAUGCAUAGCAGUUGAAGGUUGGUGAUGAAAUUUGAUAUUAGGUUAUAGAAGUCAUUGAAUAAUGUAAAUAGUCCGCAAGUGUAGCUAUAGGAAAUGAAUACUAGUGCCAAUUUCAUCUUAGUUCAAGGAUAAUUUUCAGUAUCUAUUUAAUUUAGUUACUAUGAAAGCAUAAAAUGGAGUUAUAUAGGCUGACAUAUGAAUUUAAUCUUGUUCCUCGGUUAUUCUCUCUUCCCAUGCAGAGAUAUUUUAAAGAAAGAUCUUCUUAAAGGUCAAGCAGUGAAGAACCAAAAUUUGCGUUGUUCAAAAUAAUAGCUCUUGUAAUAUCCAUGAAAUAGGUUUUGUUUUUCAACAUCAAAUUAUUGCUCCUUCUUUAAAGCUUCUUUUUAUGCCAAUCCUUAAAUUGAAAAAAAUGAUUUAUAUAGUGAAUUAUUGUCUGAUUGAUGUUCAUUCUUACCCGUUUUCUAUGCCUUUUGUUUUCAUUUUUCUGAAGGCUCUCUGGGACAAAGCUCUUGAGUUCAGAUUCUUGCUUCAGAAAGCAUUCUCAAGUUCACAUAGAUUACCACAGGAGCCAAUUAGGUCUUUAUUUUGUGAUUCACAUGAGGGUGUCAAUGCAGCAUAUUCUGGCCUAGUUAGUGUGUGCAAACUACAGGCUUUACUUGUGAAGAACCCGUCCUUUGUUCGAGCAACAGAUAGUGUGUGCAAACUACAUUUAUCAAACUAUUAUAGUUAUUUUGUAAUACAAUUUGGCUUUCCAUUGUUGUGCAUAAUCUAUCAUUUUCCGCAUGAUAAGAAUUGCCAAUAUGUGAAAGAUCUGUAGAUAUGCUUUGUGUAUUACAUUUUGUGUUUGAAGUUUUUAAUAACCGUUUAAAUUCUCAUAAAGUGUGUUUAGCUUAUAACUAUACUAUUAGCUGAGAUAGAGUUUAAUUUUAUCAAAUCAAACUUUAAGGAAAUGCUUCAAGUUUCCUCGAUUUCAUAUGAUUUUGAGGGUUCCCCAAAUUUCAAUAGUUCCACUACAACAGUUACUAUAAUUAGUCAGAUUAUGCUGGUACUAAGUUAUCAUUAAGAGUGUAAGAGUGUUAAUCAAGAGGAAUGGAUUGAGCUCAGCCUUGCCCAAGCUUAUCCCAAAACACAAAGCAUCGAGGUUGAGCUUGGACUGGCUCAAUUGUUACGUAAAUCUUGGAACAUCAGCUUUGGGUCUGCUGAAUUGUAGUGAAGUUUGUGCUUAGUUCUGAUUGAGGUCAAGCCAGUCCCAAUAUUUGUUGCAGUCGUCAAAAGCAUAAUGUUGGCAGGGAAGGUAAAUCGGUUGGGCCGUUUUGUUGAUCUGAGGAUAGCCAAGAUGAAGCCAGAUUUCAAAUUGCCCUAGGAUAUAUUGACACAUAUCUUUCCUGCUUGAUCUCAUAUAAACCUUAGCCUGAUUUAGCAAAAAAAUUGGCUUUUGGGCUACCAUGGUCUAAUUGACUGUCCUACUUUGUACUGUUUACAUCUUCAUUAACUUCAUACUGCAUAUGUUCAUAUAUUGCUUCUCCUAAUACAUAUCCUGUUCUGUAGGUAAAUCUGGAUGAUCUAAGAUGUCAUAUUCUAUUAUCGUAUUGAAGUAUAUGUGUAAAACUGAAUUUUUUUUUUUCCUUCUUCAUGCCAUACUUCGCUGAUCCAUUUGGAGCAGCAAAAAAGAACUUCAGAAUUUUGUUGUUUUAUUGUUAAAAUUCUCUUAAAUGGUGCAUUCAAGUAGGUUACUAUUAUUGCUGUAUUUCAAUACCUUGGUGUCUAACUUUUGUUAUAUUUUAAUUCAUAGUUCUUAUCAGUUAAUAAAUGAGGCUAUUAUGUAUUUAAAUUUGUCAACUGUUCAAUAUGACAUAUACGAGGCAAUAGUUUUCUGAAAUUUAAAUUCCAUUAGGCACUAAUUAAAUUAGUUUUCUAUCUAAAGGGCAAGCAAAGAACCAUGAAAUGCAUUUGUAAAUUAUACUUGUAAAAAAUCUAUGUUGCCAUAUGUUUACUUUAUGUAUACUCUUGGGCAGUUAUGCUACGAAUUCUUUCAUGCUCCGACAACUUCUCUUGCAUGAAUUUUAGAAAUUUGUUAUACUAUUUUCAACUUUUCAUUAUUGGUGCAUUUCCAUGCGGGUUACUUGGUCCAACCAAGACCUGUCACGUUGUAUCUUGUAGAAUAGCUACUUUCAAAAACAAAUCGAUAGACAAAUGGCAGAGGAAGACAGAUGCAGAUGAGGAAAUCAGUAGUUGUUGUAUUUGGUACUGUAAGAUAAUAACUCCCACGUGCAUGCUCAUUUGUGCUUCAUAAUUUUAAAAUCAUAACAAGAUGGGUUUUUCUUAAGUUUUGUACAUUCAGUAACUGAAACAUAAGUUGUGGAUGUGCAGGUUCUUGAGGGGUACAACACUGCAAAGAGAGAGGAGACACAAUCUGAUGCUGGUGCACACGCUGAUGGUGACCCCGAACUUUUGGAUGACUCUGAGUUUUACCAACAAUUACUGAAAGAAUUUUUUGGGACAAUUGACCCAGCAACUUCUGGUAUAAUGUUUAUGAGAAGAUAGUAAAUUUCAUGGCUCCAGAGACCAUGGCCGUUUCUCCUAUGCUUCCUGACCUCAAUAAUUUGUUCGGGUUGAAGAAGCAGAAACCAGCUUCCGCAGUGUAGUAGCAAUGCAAUGCUGAAUCAGCUGUAUAGUCCUUAGAUCUCAGGCUAAGAAAUUGUCUGCUGUUAAUUUUAUUUGAUAUAUUAUUCAAUCUAAUAUCUGUUGUACUGAUAUUUAUGUAAUUUACACAAUUUUUCAAUGGGGGCAGUCUUUCAGAAGCAUCAUUUUGUUGUAACUGACAAUUAAUAUCUGUAAAUUUGACAUUUAUAAGCAGAUAGGAUGCUUUUGCUUUCCCCUAUGCCGAAAUAUUUUCCCCCAAUUCGAAGAAUUGAUUCUUGCCUGGUA